rnacentral:misc_RNA from 1 species
CUUGGUCAUUUAGAGGGAUUUAAAGUCGUAACAAGGUGUUCGUCCGUAGGUGAACCUGAAGGAUCAUUAUUGAAUUUUUAUUCAAUCACGCAUGAAAACCAGCCGAACCACAAACUGUGUACUGUCUUUCGGCUUUAAUGCCUGAGGCUGUAACUGCGUGGGCAGGCCCAAGCACUAACGGACUUUGAGCCGUCAGCCCUAUAAUCAUUGACUGUGACUGAAACAUCUUUAAUCAUUAAAGACAAUUUUUACCAAUGGAUCUCUAUGCUCUC